GAUGAACGCUAGCGGCAGGCCUAACACAUGCAAGUCGAGGGGUAGAGUUCUUCGGGACUUGAGACCGGCGCACGGGUGCGUAACGCGUAUGCAAUCUACCUUAUACAGGGGAAUAGCCCAGAGAAAUUUGGAUUAAUGCCCCAUAGUGUUAUCGAAUCGCAUGGUUUGAUAACUAAAGUUCCAACGGUAUAAGAUGAGCAUGCGUCCCAUUAGUUAGUUGGUAAGGUAACGGCUUACCAAGACAAUGAUGGGUAGGGGUCCUGAGAGGGAGAUCCCCACACUGGUACUGGGACACGGACCAGACUCCUACGGGAGGCAGCAGUGAGGAAUAUUGGUCAAUGGGCGCAAGCCUGAACCAGCCAUGCCGCGUGCAGGAAGACGGUCCUAUGGAUUG
rnacentral:rRNA from 1 species